UGCCCUUCCUUUGAGUGUUUUAAUUAUUAUGAAUAACCUGGUUAACAUACAUGAUAACUAAAUAGGACCUACUAAUAAAGUGUAGGUCAACGUCCAACCAUUCUGAGAUUAAGAACUAUUUUUAAAUUAGACGCACAUUUACAGAUAUCUUACGCAGUUAUUAUUCAGAUAUAAAAGAUAUCGGUAUAACAUAACAUAAAGAGCCAGUAAAAAGCAAUUAUUAUUACAUAUUUUCGUCAUUGAAAUGUAAAAUACUAUUUCAUAUUGAUGUUUUAAAAAUAUAUUAUUUCUUAUGCAUUUCAUUAUUUGACAACAAACGACACUAAUCAGACCUUCUCAAACUGUACAUAUAUCGCAUUUAGAUAAUAUGCAUGUUAAAAGUUCUUUGAUAACACUCAAUUGUAAAAAUAAAUAAGUUUUUAUCAUUUCGUGUUAAAAGCAAAUAUACAGUAUAUUGGAGGUAGGCAGUAUCAUGCAGUUGCAAUCGACGUCUCUUCAAGGUUUGAAUUAUCGAUUUCAAGCAUUUCAGUUUCACUCAUGUUACUAUCGCUCCCAAACCAAUCUUCGGUAUCAAUAUCACCAAAAGUUUGUGGUUCGCCUAUAAUUGAUAAUAUCAUUUUGACGAAUAAGCACCGCAUAGCACAAUUAAAAUUGGUGUUAAGAAACUUUAUGUUAAAUGUGAAAACGUUAAGCUCAGGAAAUAUGAUCGCAGGCAAGUUCUCCUCAACUGAAAACUGCAGUAAUUUAUAAAAAAUCUGAAUAAUGAAAUCAUAUAGUUUGUCAUC
rnacentral:lncRNA from 1 species